rnacentral:rRNA from 1 species
GUUGUAUGGUUAAGUGACUAAGCGUACACGGUGGAUGCCUUGGCAGUCAGAGGCGAUGAAAGACGUAGUAACUUGCGAUAAGCCCAGAUUAGGUAGUAACAACCAUUUGAGUCUGGGAUUUCUGAAUGGGGAAACCCACGUGCAUAAGCACGUAUCCUUACCUGAAUACAUAGGGUAAGGAGGCGAACCGGGGGAACUGAAACAUCUAAGUACCCGAGGAAAAGAAAUCAACCGAGAUUCCGAAAGUAGCGGCGAGCGAAAUUGGACUAGCCCUUAAGCUUUACACGCGUUAGACGAACGGUCUGGAAAGUCCGACGAUACAGGGUGAUAGUCCCGUAGUUGACGACGUGUGUUCAGUGAAAUCGAGUAGGGCGGGACACGUGAUAUCCUGUCUGAAUAUGGGGGGACCAUCCUCCAAGGCUAAAUACUACUGACUGACCGAUAGUGAACCAGUACCGUGAGGGAAAGGCGAAAAGAACCCCUGUGAGGGGAGUGAAAUAGAACCUGAAACCGUGUACGUACAAGCAGUAGGAGCAGGCUUUGUCCUGUGACUGCGUACCUUUUGUAUAAUGGGUCAGCGACUUAUAUUCAGUGGCAAGGUUAACCAUCUAGGGGAGCCGUAGGGAAACCGAGUCUUAACUGGGCGUUCAGUCUCUGGAUAUAGACCCGAAACCAGGUGAUCUAGCCAUGGGCAGGUUGAAGGUUGAGUAACAUCAACUGGAGGACCGAACCGACUAAUGUUGAAAAAUUAGCGGAUGACUUGUGGCUAGGGGUGAAAGGCCAAUCAAACCUGGAGAUAGCUGGUUCUCCCCGAAAGCUAUUUAGGUAGCGCCUCGGACGAAUACUACUGGGGGUAGAGCACUGUUAAGGCUAGGGGGUCAUCCCGACUUACCAACCCUUUGCAAACUCCGAAUACCAGUAAGUACUAUCCGGGAGACACACGGCGGGUGCUAACGUCCGUCGUGGAGAGGGAAACAACCCAGACCGCCAGCUAAGGUCCCAAAUUACUACUAAGUGGGAAACGAUGUGGGAAGGCUCAGACAGCCAGGAUGUUGGCUUAGAAGCAGCCAUCAUUUAAAGAAAGCGUAAUAGCUCACUGGUCGAGUCGGCCUGCGCGGAAGAUGUAACGGGGCUAAGUAGUAAACCGAAGCUGCGGCAAUGUGCUUUUGCACAUUGGGUAGGGGAGCGUUCUGUAAGCGGUUGAAGGUGUGUGGUAACGCAUGCUGGACGUAUCAGAAGUGCGAAUGCUGACAUGAGUAACGAUAAAGGGGGUGAAAAACCUCCUCGCCGGAAGACCAAGGGUUCCUGUCCAACGUUAAUCGGGGCAGGGUAAGUCGACCCCUAAGGCGAGGCCGAAAGGCGUAGUCGAUGGGAAACGGGUUAAUAUUCCCGUACUUCUUACAAUUGCGAUGGGGGGACGGAGAAGGCUAGGUGGGCCUGGCGACGGUUGUCCAGGUUCAAGUGCGUAGGCUUAAGAGUUAGGUAAAUCCGGCUCUUUUUAAGGCUGAGACACGACGUCGAGCACCUACGGGUGUGAAGUCAUUGAUGCCAUGCUUCCAGGAAAAGCCUCUAAGCUUCAGAUUGUAAGGAAUCGUACCCCAAACCGACACAGGUGGUCGGGUAGAGAAUACCAAGGCGCUUGAGAGAACUCGGGUGAAGGAACUAGGCAAAAUGGUACCGUAACUUCGGGAGAAGGUACGCUCUUGAUGGUGAAGUCCCUUGCGGAUGGAGCUGACGAGAGUCGCAGAUACCAGGUGGCUGCAACUGUUUAUUAAAAACACAGCACUGUGCAAAAUCGUAAGAUGACGUAUACGGUGUGACGCCUGCCCGGUGCCGGAAGGUUAAUUGAUGGGGUUAGACUUCGGUCGAAGCUCUUGAUCGAAGCCCCGGUAAACGGCGGCCGUAACUAUAACGGUCCUAAGGUAGCGAAAUUCCUUGUCGGGUAAGUUCCGACCUGCACGAAUGGCGUAAUGAUGGCCACGCUGUCUCCACCCGAGACUCAGUGAAAUUGAAAUCGCUGUGAAGAUGCAGUGUACCCGCGGCUAGACGGAAAGACCCCGUGAACCUUUACUACAGCUUGGCACUGAACAUUGACCCUACAUGUGUAGGAUAGGUGGGAGGCUUUGAAGCACGUACGCCAGUAUGUGUGGAGCCGUCCUUGAAAUACCACCCUUGUAGUGUUGAUGUUCUAACGUCGACCCCUUAUCGGGGUUGCGGACAGUGCCUGGUGGGUAGUUUGACUGGGGCGGUCUCCUCCCAAAGAGUAACGGAGGAGCACGAAGGUGGGCUAAUCACGGUUGGACAUCGUGAGGUUAGUGCAAUGGCAUAAGCCCGCUUGACUGCGAGAAUGACAAUUCGAGCAGGUGCGAAAGCAGGUCAUAGUGAUCCGGUGGUUCUGAAUGGAAGGGCCAUCGCUCAACGGAUAAAAGGUACUCCGGGGAUAACAGGCUGAUACCGCCCAAGAGUUCAUAUCGACGGCGGUGUUUGGCACCUCGAUGUCGGCUCAUCACAUCCUGGGGCUGAAGUCGGUCCCAAGGGUAUGGCUGUUCGCCAUUUAAAGUGGUACGCGAGCUGGGUUUAGAACGUCGUGAGACAGUUCGGUCCCUAUCUGCCGUGGGCGUUGGAAGAUUGAAGGGGGCUGCUCCUAGUACGAGAGGACCGGAGUGGACGAACCUCUGGUGUUCGGGUUGUGUCGCCAGACGCAUUGCCCGGUAGCUAAGUUCGGAAUCGAUAACCGCUGAAAGCAUCUAAGCGGGAAGCGAGCCCUGAGAUGAGUCUUCCCUGAUACUUUAAGUAUCCUAAAGGGUUGUCGGAGACUACGACGUUGAUAGGUCAGGUGUGUAAGUGCUGUGAGGCAUUGAGCUAACUGAUACUAAUUGCCCGUGAGGCUUAACCAUACAACACCCAAGGGGUUU